rnacentral:lncRNA from 1 species
GUUUCCUGGGAAGAGGAAGAGAAGUGGAUAAAGGGACAAGACAUAAGUGCCCCUCGACAAGUUUGUUUUCUUCGCCUUCGCCAGGCCAGUGGCUCAUGUGACAUAUCCAAAAAAACGUUGUUUCACAAAACUCAAACAAAGAGCCGGAACCAAGACCGUUCUGGCGUCGAAAAGGAGAGUUCCCUGAAGACGAGCAUGAAGCCCGCAGUCGCUUUGGACUCGGUGCAUUUUCCCCGAACACCUUAAUUCUGACAAACGGGACGGAGGUUGAUCAAAGGCCAAGCCACUAAGCCAGAGCUGGGGCGAGAGAGAAAAGGGAAACCCAUGGAAGAGAACACGGUUGAAGGCGAAAGAAGUGUCGAGCCGAUAAGAGUCCGGCAACCUCGACUUCACUGUUCAGGUACGAAACUGAAGAAGCAGGGGUAGGCUGAUCAGUGACCACGCCAACGCGACAGAGCGGUGGCACCGAGGAACAUCCGUAGCCGCAGAGUGGCUCUCGUAACUCUACUUAAGUGUUUUACUCGAGGAAGCUGUUUGAACACUGAGACCAAAGAGAACGCGGGACCACACGGUGAACGUGGUGCAUUCUCAUUCGCCUCUAUUCCGUGAACGAGGUUACGUGAACCCGUCGAACAUUGCUCACAGUUUCCCACCCGAGUCGGGUAAUGUUCUCGAUCUCGUCCAUGUCCACAAGAAGCAAACCUUCACGCACGCGUUUGUGAGAGGCAAAACCAUGUGACAGGCAGGACGACGGCGAAUGUGGUCCCUCGUUGUCGUUGUCGUGCGUGGAGAAGCCUGAGAAUCCUUUGCUUUGUGCGGCAAUUCGCAUGUCAGAGUUGCCUACACCUGCACGUUUCUCUUUUUUGUCUGGGUAAACCUCAACAAACCUGUUGAUCGGCGCCAGCUGAAAUGGGGCUGGACAGGACGCAUUGUUAACGAC